UCUGGAUGGGAAGACAGGUGAUCAAGUGAUGUCUCCACCUGCUCUAGCAGGUUUUCAUACCAAGGAUUCUGUUACGCUUGAUGCCCUGUCCUUCCUCAGAGAUCCCAAUACAGAGUGCAUUGAGAACUUCAUAGAGACAAUGCCGUGGGCUUAUUUUUGUUGUGCAUCCCACACCUACUUCUGUAACGGAUCCUAGCUAUGUUUAGCACUCUCUGAAGAUUUAGUGUGUGAGGAUGUGUGGCUGCCAGAUGGAAAUAUCAAAGUAGACGAUACAGAGAAGGAUAUGCUCUUCAUGAGAGACGAAAAAAGUAUUUAAGAGCUGUACUUUCAUGACAGAAGAGUGCUGCAGGAACAACCUGAAUUCAACAGUCUAGAUGAGUAUUCAAAUUGUUUUGUAUCAUCUGUGGUUGUUAAAGAUAAUAAAGGCAAGGCGGAGAGGUGUGAAUGCUAUUUGCAUGAGAUGGUACUCAGACUAUGACUGAGAUGAUACGGUAUGGUCUCACCACUAACUUCUUAAUAGAAAGCAAGUUUGAUGUAGAGUUGUCUACAUGUGAGAAUUUGGAGACAGCAUAGAGAAACUUAUAGCCACUGCGGCAGCCAGGCACCAGUCCCAUUUCUCCUCUAGGUAACUUUGUGCAUGAGUUCUCACUUUUUAUAAGAGUGUCGGUUUUAUUAGGUGGUGUUAAGUCUUAGGAGUUAGAAGUAAAGGUCCUUAUAGGCUUUCUAAUGUAAAUACGAACAUUUGGACUUAGACAUGUGUUAAGUGUCACUGAAGGUAAAUUACCGUGAAUUAGCUACAUAUACUCUCAGGCAAUGCAUAGAAUCGUAGAAUCUUUAGGUUGGAAAAGACCUUUGAGAUCAUCAACUCCAACCAUACCUGUCCACUACUAAAACAUAUCCCAAAGCACAUAACCAACAAGCCUUUUAAAUUUUAGAAAGUUUGGUCUAAAACCAUUCCAGAGCAUAUUGAUUCCUUAAAUACAUAAACUUGAUUAUUUUUUUUUGUCAAACUGACACCAAAAAAAACCCAUGCCAUCAGGAAACUAUUACUAGAAAACACACGAAUAAGCCGCAUGUACAGUACGAGUUUACCUCCAGUGUUAAUUACCAGCAAAGAUCUAUACUUUGAUUAGGAAGGUUUAGUAGAUCAUUAUUAAUGCAAAAUGUUGAAGGUUAUAUUGGUAAUUAAUUUGAUAAAUAAAACAUAUUCCUUGUCACUUGUUUGCAAGGUGUUAUCAGUAAGCUUAGAAUCAUAGAAUGGUUUGGAUUGAAAGGUCCCUAAAGAUCAUCUAGUUUGAAGCCCUCUGCCAUGGGCAGGGACACCUCCCACAGAUCAGGCUGCUCAAGGCCUCAUCCAACCUGGCCUUGAACACCUCCAGGGAUGGGGCAGCCACAACCUGUGCCAGUGCCUCACCACUCUCACUGGGAAGAAUUUUUUCCUAAUGUCUAAUCUAAAUCUUCCCCCCUCCAAUUUAAAGCCAUUCCCCCUCAUCCUAUCACCACAAGCCUUUGUGAACAGCCCCUCCCCAGCUUUCUUGUAGCUUACAGGAAGGUUCCUGUAAGGUCUCCUCGGAGCCUUCUCUUCUCCAGACUGAACAAGCCCAACUCCCUCAGCCUGUCCUCAUAUGGGAGGUGCUCCAGCCCUCUGAUCAUCUUUGUAGCCCUUCUCUAGGCACAUUCCAACAGUUCUUAUGCUGAAGAUUCCAGAGUUGGACACAAUACUCCAGGUGGAGUCUCACAAGAGCAGAGGGGAAGAAUCCCCUCCCUCGCCCUGCUGGUCACACUUCUUUUGUUGCAGCUCAGGAUACAGUUGGCUUUCUGGGCAGUAAGCGCACCUUGCCAACUCAUGUCGAGCUGCUCAUCAGUCGGCACCCCAAAGUCCUUCUCUGCAGGGCUGCUCUCAAUCAUGUCAUCCCCCACCCUGUACUGAAACUGCAGAUUGCCCUGACCCAUGUGUAGGACCUCGCACUUGGCCUUGUUGAACCUCAUAAAGUUCAUCCAGGCCCACUUCCCCAGCUUUUCCAGGUCCCUCUGGAUAAUCUUUGAUUCCAAGCCAACAGAAAAUCAUUUUCUGACCAUAUAAAGGAGUAACAAAGUUUUUUUCUAAUCUAAUUUUCUCCUUAAUGAAUUUUAUGGAAGGAUGUAUUUUGUCAUCUGGCUAGUGUUUCUAAGUAAAGUUUCCUUCUCCUCUUGAGCGGGACUUAAAACAAAGGCUUGCAUAAAUAAGUUUUUUACUUCCUGUAGGGCUUCCAUAUCAUGCAAAUUUAUUGUAGCAGAACAUUAACCUUUCCUUCAUCCAGAACACAGUAACUCAGAAUAUCCAAAUUUUUGCAGUCAUGACAAUUUAUACAAGCUUUGUUAGAUCUGAAUUUCAGCAGGUAAAGAUAGAACAUGGGAUAUAUUUGAAUACUCUAGAAAUCUUUUUCUCUUUCCUUACAUGCAUUCUGUCCAAGCUAUUAAUAUUGUCUAAAUGUAGAAAGAAGUUUAUCAACAAGAGGUUUUUUUCUUUAAGUUCUAGUAUAUAGUUGCUUCAUCUCUCAUGCAAAGUCAAAUGGUCAAUUACUGUAAAAAAAUGCAGAUUAAAAUGUAAGAAAGGAUUAUUAAAAAAACCAAACACUUCAAUGUCAAAUGCUUAGUAAGAAUUUUUAGUCAUUGAGAGUUAUCAUUCUUUUCUGGUGUUAGUCAGUGGUUUUCAAGAUCAUACAUAUUUUAAUUAAAAAAAAAAAUCUUGAAUUUCAAGUCUAUUUACUUUUAGUAUGGAUUGUGACCCUGGCCUCAUGCGUUAAUAUUUCUAGUGAAGCACAGAUUCUUCAGUAGCAGAAGCAUUAACUUCACUCUCAUGAAGAACAAUUCUAGUAAAGGUGACUCUAGGGAACAUGCAAAUUUGAAUUUGUUUGUUUGAGACAAACAGGGAUUCAAUUUCAUCUUGCUGGCAUUCCAGAUCUCUAUGGUACGUGCUGCAGAGAAGCUGGAGCUGACUCUGUCAAGUUGGCAUUGCACUACGGUUAAUAAGCCCUCAUGAGGGGCAGGAGUUGAGCACACAGACACAGCACAUCACUGACAUGUUAACACGGUUCUGUGCGGAUGUACCAGUCAGCACCAGUCUGACCUCUCUGCACUGCCAUGGGCACUGCAGGCAUACACGCAGUUUUGAUUUGUUUUUUUUCCAAAGUGAAUACCUAGUGGCUUUGGGUUACAAAAAGACUUCAAGAAACUGUCACUGAGGCAGAGACAUCUAAAUUUGGAAUAAUAGCUUGAAUGGCUCUGACCUCCUUGUCCCUUUUAUUUCCGAGUGGUGCCAGCUCAGCUCCAGUGACAAAGACAGUACAAUGUAUUAUCAUUCCUUACAAAAGAUAAUAAUGUGUGAAAGAAUAACAUGCUUGUAUGAUGCUUGAUUCUGGGAUGGUGGAGGUCUCAUCACUGACCCAGCUCAGACAAAUCCUGACUGUGAGGUAAGGUUGGAUAGAAAAGAGAUGAUUUAACUCUCCUGUUCAGUCUACUAAUCGGUGAUGGUCCUGUAUGAAGAUGUAUCAGAGAAAUAUUUCACAGAUAAAAUACUCUGUACAAGCAUUCAGGAGAAUAA